ensembl:lncRNA
UGUGUUUCUUCCAUCUGUCUCAGUAUUUCUGAUGAUUUAGACUCGAUAUCUUGGUGUGCUCAAACACACAAUGUUGAUUUACUUAUCGGAAAUGACAUGUAAAGCUGUUUUACAUUCCCCAACGUUUUUCACCCAUCAAUGCUGUCCUUUUCCUACUCUGAAAGUGUGACCUUUCCAGCUCACUGUAGUGUCCCCAGAAGUGCUCAGAUAGUGAACGCUGAGUUCACCUUGAGUUUCAAGGGGAGACAUGGAGUGGCAAAUGACUGUAAUCCUGUACAUAAGGUCCAGAAGGGUCCUAAAGCGGGUGCUUGUCUGUUCUCCACAGAGCGUGCCCAGUGGCAUCCCCCUCCCACCCUCACUCAAGCCCCCUACUCGUCCACGGACCCCCUCCAUCCCUACAGAGGCCCCUCCCUCUUAUGUGAGCUCCACCGGCCUUUCUCCGCCUCCUCAGUAUGUGACCCCAACCAGCAGCCCUUCCGACCUGGACCUGGCCUCCCCCUCCUCAGAUGACCCUGGCAC